rnacentral:ncRNA from 1 species
GUGAAGAGACAUGAGAGGUGUAGAAUAAGUGGGAGGCCUCCGGGCCGCCGGUGAAAUACCACUACUCUUAUCGUUUUUUCACUUACCCGGUGAGGCGGGGGGGCGAGCCCCGAGGGGCUCUCGCUUCUGGCUCCAAGCGCCCGGCGCGUGCCGGG